GCUGGUGUUGCUUAGUGGUUAGAGCAUUGGCCCAUGCACGUAAAGGUUACAGGUUUGAUUCCCGUCAAGAGCA
rfam:Myotis brandtii contig183112, whole genome shotgun sequence.